AACGAACGCUGGCGGCAUGCCUAACACAUGCAAGUCGAACGAGACCUUCGGGUCUAGUGGCGCACGGGUGCGUAACGCGUGGGAAUCUACCCUCAGGUUCGGAAUAACUCAGAGAAAUUUGAGCUAAUACCGGAUGAUGACGUAAGUCCAAAGAUUUAUCGCCUGAGGAUGAGCCCGCUUAGGAUUAGGUAGUUGGUGAGGUAAAGGCUCACCAAGCCGACGAUCCUUAGCUGGUCUGAGAGGAUGAUCAGCCACACUGGGACUGAGACACGGCCCAGACUCCUACGGGAGGCAGCAGUGGGGAAUAUUGGACAAUGGGCGAAAGCCUGAUCCAGCAAUGCCGCGUGAGUGAUGAAGGCCUUAGGGUUGUAAAGCUCUUUUACCCGGGAUGAUAAUGACAGUACCGGGAGAAGAAGCACCGGCUAACUCCGUG
rnacentral:rRNA from 1 species